GACGAACGCUGGCGGCGUGCUUAACACAUGCAAGUCGAACGGAAAGGCCCUGCUUUUGUGGGGUGCUCGAGUGGCGAACGGGUGAGUAACACGUGAGUAACCUGCCCUUGACUUUGGGAUAACUUCAGGAAACUGGGGCUAAUACCGGAUAGGAGCUCCUGCUGCAUGGUGGGGGUUGGAAAGUUUCGGCGGUUGGGGAUGGACUCGCGGCUUAUCAGCUUGUUGGUGGGGUAGUGGCUUACCAAGGCUUUGACGGGUAGCCGGCCUGAGAGGGUGACCGGCCACAUUGGGACUGAGAUACGGCCCAGACUCCUACGGGAGGCAGCAGUGGAGAAUAUUGCACAAUGGGCGGAAGCCUGAUGCAGCAACGCCGCGUGCGGGAUGACGGCCUUCGGGUUGUAAACCGCUUUCGCCUGUAACGAAGCGUGAGUGACGGUAAUGGGUAAAGAAGCACCGGCUAACUACGUG
rnacentral:rRNA from 1 species